rnacentral:rRNA from 1 species
AAUCAACGCUGGCGGCGUGCCUCAGACAUGCAAGUCGAACGCGAAAGGCCCCUUCGGGGGCCGAGUAGAGUGGCGUCCGGGUGAGUAACACGUGGGUAAUCUACCUUCGGGUGGGGAAUAACGACCGGAAGCGGUCGCUAAUACCGCAUAAUGCAGCGGCACCUAAUGGUGACAGUUGUUAAAGCGGGGGAUCGCAAGACCUCGCGCCUGAAGAGGAGCCCGCGGCGGAUUAGCUAGNGGCAGGGUAACGGCCUACCAAGGCGACGAUCCGUAGCCGGCCUGAGAGGGGCGGUCGGCCACACUGGCACUGACACACGGGCCAGACUCCUACGGGAGGCAGCAGUCGGGAAUUUUGGGCAAUGGGCGAAAGCCUGACCCAGCAACGCCGCGUGAAGGAUGAAGCUUUUUCGGAGUGUAAACUUCAU